rnacentral:rRNA from 2 species
GGCCUAAUACAUGCAAGUCGAGCGAACUGAUUAGAAGCUUGCUUCUAUGACGUUAGCGGCGGACCGGUGAGUAACACGUGGGCAACCUGCCUGUAAGACUGGGAUAACUCCGGGAAACCGGAGCUAAUACCGGAUAACAUUUUCUCUUGCAUAAGAGAAAAUUGAAAGAUGGUUUCGGCUAUCACUUACAGAUGGGCCCGCGGUGCAUUAGCUAGUUGGUGAGGUAACGGCUCACCAAGGCAACGAUGCAUAGCCGACCUGAGAGGGUGAUCGGCCACACUGGGACUGAGACACGGCCCAGACUCCUACGGGAGGCAGCAGUAGGGAAUCUUCCGCAAUGGACGAAAGUCUGACGGAGCAACGCCGCGUGAGUGAUGAAGGCUUUCGGGUCGUAAAACUCUGUUGUUAGGGAAGAACAAGUACAAGAGUAACUGCUUGUACCUUGACGGUACCUAACCAGAAAGCCACGGCUAACUACGUGCCAGCAGCCGCGGUAAUACGUAGGUGGCAAGCGUUAUCCGGAAUUAUUGGGCGUAAAGCGCGCGCAGGCGGUUUCUUAAGUCUGAUGUGAAAGCCCACGGCUCAACCGUGGAGGGUCAUUGGAAACUGGGGAACUUGAGUGCAGAAGAGAAAAGCGGAAUUCCACGUGUAUCGGUGAAAUGCGUAUAGAUGUGGAGGAACACCAGUGGCGAAGGCGGCUUUUUGGUCUGUAACUGACGCUGAGGCGCGAAAGCGUGGGGAGCAAACAGGAUUAGAUACCGUGGUACUCCACGCCCUCAAACAAAGAAUGCUAUAAGUUAGAGGGAAUUCCGUCUCUUUUGUUGCUGCAGCUAAGCUCACUAAAAUUUUCCCACCUCGGGGGGGGGGGGGUGGCCGGAAGGAAAAAUUCAAAACAAAAAUGAAAAAAGGGCCCCGCGGGG